AUCUCUAUUCUUUCUCAUUUUUUUUCAUUUUAUUUAUUUUUAAGUUAAGGUCGCUUUGCACCCGUAUAUAUACAAGGAUCGCUUUGCGCCCGUAUCUAUACAAGGAUACAAGGUCGCUUUGCGCCCAUACAAGAAAAAGAUAUAAUUACCAGAGGCGAAUGGCUUAGCGAUACACAUAAAUAAUUUCCAACGACUUUUAGAAAGUUGUUCAGAUUAUAGACCUGUUGAUACAGUGCUAAUACAGCAUCCUGAUUCAAUAGAACCCAUACCGAGAAAGAGAAAGCAUAUCCAGGUACUACAUAGUUCGUUGGGAGGAGAACAUUGGGUAUGUAGUUAUUAUGAUACAAAAAACAUGUAUUUACGAUUCUUUAAAUAAUAAAAUGUUACAUGAGCAUCAUAAACAA